rnacentral:rRNA from 1 species
GAUCAUGGCUCAGGAUGAACGCUAGCUACAGGCUUACCACAUGCAAGUCGAGUGGCAGCGGGAUUGAAGCUUGCUUCAAUUGCCGGCGACCGGCGCACGGGUGAGUAACGCGUAUCCAACCUUCCGCUUACUCGCGGAUAGCCUUUCGAAAGAAAGAUUAAUACCCGAUGGUAUCUUAAGCACGCAUGAGAUUAAGAUUAAAGAUUUAUCGGUAAGCGAUGGGGAUGCGUUCCAUUAGG